GGCUCGAUGGUCGAUUGGUUAAGGGGUUGGACUUUAGUAUCAAUGGACGCAAGCCUUCGUGGGUUCGAACCCCACUCGCGCUA
rfam:Heligmosomoides polygyrus genome assembly, scaffold: HPBE_scaffold0004092